ensembl:lncRNA
AUUAUUAUUAUUAUUAUUAUUAUUAUUAUUAUUAUUAUUAUUUGGAGACAGGGUUUUACUGGCUUUGCCACAUUCUGGGAUCAUGGGCAUAUGCUGCUGUGCUUGGCUCAGUGCUUAAAAUUCUUAAGUCAUUGGUAGUACUGAUCUUCCAAUGUCAUAUCUCUUGCUAUAUUACAGCUUUCCCUGUGUCUACCCUAGAGUUCAGGUACCAGUGAGUAAUAUUAUUAAAAACUAGAUUAAGAAGGUCAGGGACGUUAGUGAGAUGGAGCGAAGGCCCAAGGACAUGAGUAGUCAGCAUCUGAAAAGAGCUGACUGGAGACUGAACUGUCCUGGCCACCUCCUCCUCGUCCCCGCUGGCACCAUGUCCCUGUAGAGCUCUGUGACGUGUGUAGAUAGCUGCACAGUCACUCUGGGAAGCAUUUGGUCUGAGCUGUUCCUUCUUCACUCACUGUCCUCCCUCCUUGGCUGGCCCGAUGCUCCUGAAAGAUUAUUUUUAACGUCAGGUGAUUGUGAGGGUCAGUUCACCUCAGGCAUUUUUAGCACGCACAUGUUAAACUAUCAUGGAAGUGUGGCUGUAGUAAAAGGAGAAGUGAUAGCCUGCUCAAAGUUUAAAAAGAGCUGGAGCCUGUCCGAGGAGUCCUAUAGCAAAGAAAGAAUACCCAGUCACCAGAGAAAUCAGCAACUGUUAUGAAGGAAGGGAUCUGUUGGUGUUCAUGAGACCCUGGAGGCCUUCUUUUCUGAAGCCCUUAUUCCCUCACAUGUACAAGUAGUGCUCUCAUAGUUGCUCAAUAACUAAUUACACGUAUAAAACACUUUUCAUCUCAGUAGCUUUGUACACAGAGGUGUAGCCUGAGCACCUGUGACCGCAGGCAUGCUCCUCUGUGCUUUGCCUGCCUGCCUCAGUCAGCACACGGUCUGCUUGUUUGUAGGCUGUCAGUCAGAGGGAAGACGCAUCUGCAUACUGAUAGCUCUGUGUCCAAGCCAGUGUGGAUGCAUGAUAUUUUUAACCUACUCGUGCCUGAAAUUAGAGUUUUACAACCUGAACAGUUAAAACAUCCUGGUGCUAUUCACAUUAGCGUUGAGUUACAUUUUUAAUUCUUGUACCAAAGAGCAGUUUUCUUUUGGUUGACUGAGAGCUUCUUAUGUUCGUGUCUGAAGAAGUGAACAGUCUUGACAGCUUACAUUCAGCAGAGUCAAUUGAAAUGAAUCUACCUAGACUCAUUUUUAUUUUGUUGUGCAGAUUAGUGUGGGCUUUACUUUUGUACUUAUGUGGCUACUUUAUAAGGUAUUUCAAUAGGCUGAAGCUACUGAAGAUUAGAGAAUCACUUUUCAAAAGUUCCCCCCUCCCUUGGUCUUCUUACUUCAGCAGUGAAGAAAAAAUUAUUUCUAUAAGCAAAGUAAUUCUAUUGGACACUUUUAACAUUUGCUCAACCAGAUGCUAAAAUAAAGGGCAAAUAAUGGGUCCAUUUUUAUUUACAAGUCAAGAAUUUAGUAUCUCUGUGUGUGGGGGUGUAUAAUCCGUAAUGGCUUUAAAUAAUGAUACAGGUAUUUGCUUAUUUUGACAAUGAGAAUGAAAUUAAAAGACACUUUAAAACAUAAAAAUCACAAACACAUGCAUACACAAACACUUUCCCAGUAGGAGGCCUAAAGGUACAUUGAUUUAAGCCAACACCCUGACAGUUGAACUUCACAUCAAAAGCAGUUCCGCUGCUCACCAUAUGUGAAGAUUAGAGUUUGAUUGUUUUACAGACUAAUUUUUUCAGUGAUUUAUUUUACAUAGCUGGCAGACCAGAGUCCUGGAUAGAUCGUCCAGCUGUGGUACCGCUGCUCACGAUCGACUUCCCUGUGCUUCCCCUGAAGCUCUACACACACUUAUCAGUGUUUCCUCAGAGAGAAGCUGCCAGGGCUGAUCGCUCAGCCAAGCAAGUAACCAUGCAGCUGACUGGGAAAGUAGACAGUCGUGGAAAUGCUUGUGUCGUUUCCAGCAGCUUCAGUCUGUGUCUCCUUCUGAAUGAAAAAAAAAAAAACCAAUCAAUCCUAAAACUUGAAAGGUGACGAGCUCAUGAGCAUGAGGUGUUUAUAGAUGAGCAGUUAGACAGGAAGCAGGGGAGGGCAGCACUGUGGCUCUUGUGAGAAUGUUGCCACUGGAGUGUGUCUUAAUAAGCCCAUUGCUUGUCCAUUGCUUAAAAGGCAGAGUGUAGGAAAUUUUUCUCAAGUAGGAAAAGAGAGAAUUUGCCACUGCUUGCUGUCUCCUGGUGUGAUUAUUAAAAAGCAAAGAAAAAACCAACAUAAAAUAAAAGCAACUAAAGAUACAGAAAGAAGAAAUUCAUCCCCAUCAGAGAUUUUCGGAUGAAUGGGUUGUAAGCCCAAGGACAGACAGAGGAAAACAGAGUGCAGGGAAUUAGUCUGGCUAGUUUAAUCACUAACAACACCUGUGUCAUUCUGAUGCUCCGAAAACUUGCUAUCUGCUCCAAUUCUCACACAUCCCUAAUUGAAAAACACUGCUUGAGUUUUAAUAAUGGUGUGUACUGUAGGUACCUAGGAAGACCCUGUCUUGAAAGUUGCUGGGUGUGCUUUUCAUUCAGCUAAACUAUGUGUACGUCUGAGGGCCGUUCGCCUGCCUCGUCUGCUGUUUUGGUUUUGUCUCUUAGCCUAGGAAAUCUUCACUAACAUUUCCAGUGCUAGUGGUAAUAAGGAAGAGAGUGGGUAAGAGACUUGUGAGCACUCUGAGGAGAGGGAGGGAGUUGACAGGUGGGUGGGAACUACGAGGUAUAUGUAAUUGUUUAGAUGAGAUGUCUACACUGGUUCUUCUAAUGAAAAUGGACUAUGUAUCUACCUUAAGAACAACAUUGCUUUUAAUAUUUAUUUUAGUGAUUUUGUUUUAUUCAUGUGAUACUCUAUAUUCUUUGCAAAUUGCUUUUAAUUUAAAUUGUGGAAUUUUUACUUCUCUUGAAAUGUACUAUGUACUGUAUUUUUAGAAAUCUUAUUUUUAAAUAAAUAUUUUUG